CCCAGACUCCUACGGGAGGCAGCAGUGGGGAAUAUUGCACAAUGGGGGAAACCCUGAUGCAGCGACGCCGCGUGAGCGAUGAAGUAUUUCGGUAUGUAAAGCUCUAUCAGCAGGGAAGAAAAUGACGGUACCUGACUAAGAAGCCCCGGCUAACUACGUGCCAGCAGCCGCGGUAAUACGUAGGGGGCAAGCGUUAUCCGGAUUUACUGGGUGUAAAGGGAGCGUAGACGGCAGUGCAAGUCUGGAGUGAAAGGCGGGGGCUCAACCCCCGGACUGCUCUGGAAACUGUACGGCUGGAGUGCAGGAGAGGUAAGUGGAAUUCCUAGUGUAGCGGUGAAAUGCGUAGAUAUUAGGAGGAACACCGGUGGCGAAAGCGGCUCUCUGGCCUGUAACUGACACUGAGACUCGAAAGCGUGGGGAGCAAACAGGAUUAGAUACCCCGGUAGUA
rnacentral:rRNA from 1 species